AAAGCAUCCCAAUCAAGGGCCAGGCGUG
rnacentral:piRNA from 1 species